rnacentral:rRNA from 1 species
CUUAGCCGUAAACAUAGACAGUACAAACACAAUACUGUCCGCCAGAGAACUACAAGUGAAAAACUAGAAACUCCAAGGACUUGGCGGUGCCCUACACCAACCUAGAGGAGCCUGUCCUAUAAUCGAUAAUCCACGCUGUACCUUACCAUUUCUAGCAAUUCAGCCUAUAUACCGCCGUCGAAAGCUUACCUUAUGAAAGAAACAAAGUAAGCAAAAUAGUUAACAACUAAAACGUCAGGUCAAGGUGUAGCACAUGAAAUGGUAGAGAUGGGCUACAUUUUCUAUUCUAGAAAACACGAACAGUACAAUGAAACCUGUCCUCAAAGGCGGAUUUAGUAGUAAGGUAAAAAAGAAAUUCUACCUUAAACCCGCUCUGGGGUGCGCACACACCGCC